rnacentral:rRNA from 1 species
CCUCCUAAAAAGUAACGGAGAAUUUAGUAGCGAAGCGUCUGAUGUCACACUGCCGAGAAAAGCUUCUAGUGAGUACUUAACUACCCGUACCGUAAACCGACACAGGUAGUCGAGGAGAGAAUCCUAAGGUGAGCGAGUGAACUCUCGUUAAGGAACUCGGCAAAAUGACCCCGUAACUUCGGGAGAAGGGGUGCUGAUCGCAAGAUCAGCCGCAGUGAAUAGGCCCAGGCGACUGUUUAUCAAAAACACAGGUCUCUGCAAAAUCGUAAGAUGACGUAUAGGGGCUGACGACUGCCCGGUGCUGGAAGAAUGUACCGGGGCUAAGCAUACUACCGAAACCAUGGAUGCGACUAUUAGGUCGCGUGAUAGGAGAGCGUUCUAAGGGCGGUGAAGCAAGAUCGUGAGGACUUGUGGAGCGCUUAGAAGUGAGAAUGCCGGUAUGAGUAGCGAAAGAUAGGUGAGAAUCCUAUCCACCGAAUGACUAAGGUUUCCUGGGGAAGGCUCGUCCUCCCAGGGUUAGUCGGGACCUAAGUCGAGGCCGAGAGGCGUAGACGAUGGAUAACAGGUUGAGAUUCCUGUACUAGUUAAGUGCGUUUGAGCAAUGGAGGGACGCAGGAGGCUAAGAUGUGCAUUCUGUUGGAUUAGAAUGUCCAAGCAGUAAGUCUUGUGAAGAGUCAAAUGCUUUUCACUUUAAGGACAAGCUGUGAUGGGGAGCGAAAUUUAGUAGCGAAGCGUCUGAUGUCACACUGCCGAGAAAAGCUUCUAGUGAGUACUUAACUACCCGUACCGCAAACCGACACAGGUAGUCGAGGAGAGAAUCCUAAGGUGAGCGAGUGAACUCUCGUUAAGGAACUCGGCAAAAUGACCCCGUAACUUCGGGAGAAGGGGUGCUGAUCGCAAGAUCAGCCGCAGUGAAUAGGCCCAGGCGACUGUUUAUCAAAAACACAGGUCUCUGCAAAAUCGUAAGAUGACGUAUAGGGGCUGACGCCUGCCCGGUGCUGGAAGGUUAAAAGGAUGGGUUAGCUUCGGCGAAGCUCAGAAUUGAAGCCCCAGUAAACGGCGGCCGUAACUAUAACGGUCCUAAGGUAGCGAAAUUCCUUGUCGGGUAAGUUCCGACCCGCACGAAAGGCGUAACGAUCUGGGCACUGUCUCAACGAGAGACUCGGUGAAAUUAUAUUGUCCGUGAAGAUGCGGACUACCCGCGACAGGACGGAAAGACCCCAUGGAGCUUUACUGUAGCUUGAUAUUGAGUGUUUGUACAGCUUGUACAGGAUAGGUAGGAGCCAUAGAAACCGGAACGCUAGUUUCGGUGGAGGCGUUGGUGGGAUACUACCCUCGCUGUAUGACCACUCUAACCCGCACCACUAAUCGUGGUGGGAGACAGUGUCAGGUGGGCAGUUUGACUGGGGCGGUCGCCUCCUAAAAAGUAACGGAGGCGCCCAAAGGUUCCCUCAGAAUGGUUGGAAAUCAUUCGCAGAGUGUAAAGGCACAAGGGAGCUUGACUGCGAGACAGACAGGUCGAGCAGGGACGAAAGUCGGGCUUAGUGAUCCGGUGGUACCGUAUGGAAGGGCCAUCGCUCAACGGAUAAAAGCUACCCUGGGGAUAACAGGCUUAUCUCCCCCAAGAGUCCACAUCGACGGGGAGGUUUGGCACCUCGAUGUCGGCUCAUCGCAUCCUGGGGCUGUAGUCGGUCCCAAGGGUUGGGCUGUUCGCCCAUUAAAGCGGUACGCGAGCUGGGUUCAGAACGUCGUGAGACAGUUCGGUCCCUAUCCGUCGCGGAUGACGUAUAGGGGCUGACGCCUGC